rnacentral:rRNA from 1 species
GACGAACGCUGGCGGCGUGCCUAAUACAUGCAAGUAGAACGCACAGUUUAUACCGUAGCUUGCUACACCAUAGACUGUGAGUUGCGAACGGGUGAGUAACGCGUAGGUAACCUGCCUGGUAGCGGGGGAUAACUAUUGGAAACGAUAGCUAAUACCGCAUAAUAUUAAUUAUUGCAUGAUAAUUAAUUGAAAGGUGCAAUUGCACCACUACCAGAUGGACCUGCGUUGUAUUAGCUAGUAGGUGAGGUAACGGCUCACCUAGGCGACGAUACAUAGCCGACCGGAGAGGGUGAUCGGCCACACUGGGACUGAGACACGGCCCAGACUCCUACGGGAGGCAGCAGUAGGGAAUCUUCGGCAAUGGACGAAAGUCUGACCGAGCAACGCCGCGUGAGUGAAGAAGGUUUUCGGAUCGUAAAGCUCUGUUGUAAGAGAAGAACGGGUGUGAGAGUGGAAAGUUCACACUGUGACGGUAGCUUACCAGAAAGGGACGGCUAACUACGUG